rnacentral:tRNA from 1 species
AGAAAAAUAGUUUAAUUGGUAAAACAUUGGUCUCCAAAACUAAAAUUAAAGGUUCAAGUCCUUUUUUUUCUG